CCACUAGGCCUGCUUGGCCCAGGGUGUGUUACGCGGCUGAGUGCAGGUGUGUGUGUGCACCUGGAUGCGUGCAUACACACGUCACUGAGAAGUAUGCCUGGAUAAAUAAACCUGCUGCUCACCUGCUGCAUAAGUACUGAAAAUGCGAGUCCUUCCCUCAGGUGAGGGUGAAGCAGUGAACCUGCCUGACAGACAGGUAGCACCGUCUGCGCCAGGGGACAGACUGACAGCUCCAGUGCAGGGGAAUGGGGCAGGGCUGCCCCAGCCUCCCUUUCAAGCCUGCUUCAUAACGAGGUUCUCUUCUAACUAAAUCAAAGAUCUUAUUCGCACAGGAAAAUACCCGGGACAACAAUGCUGGCUGAUAAUAUCAAAGUGAUGAGCAAAGAAAUAGCACCCGCAUUCUCAGCUGAUGAUGUGGCAAAGAUCAAGAAAUUCUGCAAAGCUCAAACUAAAAUCAAACCCAAAUGACUUAAUGAAACAGAUGUUCACACACUCUUACACUGCUGACAGACAACUGCUGCAGAACUCAGAACGGCUGGGUGCCCCUGGAUUACAGAGUCCAGUUCCCUUUUAUGAUGGGCAGCUCCAUGACGCCUGUGGCAACUGCAAAGCACCGAGCGGCUUACAAGACCAGAGGGAUGAGGCCUACCUGGACUUGGUACCUCGUCACCACAGCAGCUAACCGGCUAGCUGGGUCGUUGGCAACUGUGCAGCUCCAAGAAGCAAGGAGCCAAAAUCAUCACCAGCCCCAUUGCUCCUAGCACAGACAGCAACAGUCCUCAGAUGCCCCCUCGUGAUUUCCAGCUGCACUGCAACUCUUUCAUUUUAAAGACCUCUGAAGAAUACGUUCAGGGAAGCAGGGGGCUUGCAAGGAAAGAGCUUGCAUAGGUAUGUUGCACUUUGUGUCCAGUUGGGAAGUGGGGAGCACUUGCUUCUCCUUUGGUGGACACAGCUCCGAUGAUAAAACACAUGGGUACAGCUAUUCGUUUGAGGUUUUAAAGUAUACUAGAAACAUUCUUGCUGGGAUCAUUCCAAUCUACAAUAAAGUCUCUUAACCCCUAAACCACUUAAGAUUUAUUACACUUUAUGAAAUAUCUGAGUAGAAAUAUCCUAUGACUAAAAGCAUCAAGGAGUACAAGUACUUAGUGAAUUAGCAUUCUUAAGUACUAUACCUAGAGACAACCCAAAAAUAUUCAGUGCCCUCUUGUGGAUCGCAUCAAGAAGAAAAACUCAUAAAAGAAACUACUGAAGUUUGAAGUCUCACAACUGAAGUGUCACAUCCAUCAUACCUUCCGUGACACUGCUGCCACAAACGUGACCCAGACAAAGGCUUGAUGAAAGGCCCAGAGUGUGAGGAGAGUCUGAGAGAGCUGGGACUGUUCAGCCCAUGGAAGAGGAGGCCCAGAGCGGUCCUGUCAAAGUCUAUAAAUACCUGCAAGGAGGGCGCAAAGAGGACAGAGCCAGGCUCUUUCCAGCAGUGCCCAGUGCCAGGACAAGAGGCAAUGGGCACAAACUGGAACACAGGAAGUUCCCUCAGAACACCAGGAGCACUUCUGUGCUGUGCAGGUGACGGAGCACUGGCACAGGCUGCCCAGAAGCUGUGUGUGGGGUCUGCUCCUCAUGGAACUUUAGCAGCCGCCUGGACAUGGGCCUGGGCCCCUGCUCUGGUGUCCCUGCUGGAGCAGGGGGUGGGCCCAAUGGACCCAAAGGGCCCUGCCAGCCUCAGCCUUUCUGAGGAAAAAGCCACUAUUUUCUUUUUGCCUUUGCUGCGUACCUGCAGAAACAGAACACGCAGCACAAGGUUUUUUGUAAAACGCGUGCCUGUUACUGGUAAUGAGCUGGUCUGCUUUUACACACAAUCCUCAUCUCUAUAACACAAAAGGAAAUCCUCCCAAGAAAGAAGAACAAAGCAAAUACUUUUAGUUUGAGGGGAGUGGAAGGAGGUGGAAAACAACUUAGAAUAUGAAAUCUGACCGGUAAGACAUUCAGUCUUUCAAACUGCAAAGACAUUUUAAUAAAAACUCCUCCAGCCAUAGAAGCAAACAUUAGCAGGCUAACUCUGAAAGUUAUUGAUGCUAAAUUUCUUAGUUACUCUAUUUACCCCUGAAACCCACAUCAGCUCCAAGAUAUUGAGGGCACAGCCAGAGGAGCUUCUGAUGUAUACAGAAUAGGAGACAAUACUUAGCAGUUAAGUAAUAUAACCUUAUCUAUUUAAUUGCUGAAUAAAAGACAGAAAGGACAAUGGGAAGGAUGCUUAGAUGGGGAAAUCCUAUGAGAGCUGCUGCAAAGAAAGACAUGUAGAGGGGAAAAAAAAAAAAGAGAGAAAGACAGAAAUCCAAGAAUAUAGAAAGAGAAUAUAAAGUAACAGUGAAAACACUUUUCUCAGGCAAAGCAUUCUCAUAGGCUUAAGCAAGUUCAUAAAGACAGCAUUCUGUCACUAGGCCCUGGGAAAUGACCUGCAGCUCCCCAGAACUGAAAAAUACAUCUUAAAUGUACACAGAGGAUUUCAAGUAAAGAUUUUAAAGUGGAAUUAGACGCUUUCUCCUGAAUGCAUUUGGCAGUGAUGGUUUUCUUUUAGCUCUUUCCUGUCCACGAAGACAGAAAUACAUGAUGAUGAGAAAAAAAAGAUUUACAGACAGAACAAGGGAGGUUAAGGCUAGAAAAUGAAGGGGUGAAUGCUGGCCCUUCCCAAAGUGGAUGUACAGUUUAAGCAUCAUAACAAUCCAAGCCAAUUUUAUUCAUGAAGAAAAAAAAAAAAACAUAAUCAGGCUGGUAAUUCACUGGAAAGUGGCAAUUAUAACGUGAUUGCAAAAGCCUUUUUAUAGUAGUGGUCCUGAACUUUGUCUUCUACAUAUAUUCAAACACAUAUGUAAAAGGACACAGAAGAGACCUGGUAUCUAGAACGAGUUUGAGUGCAUUCUGUACUGAGAAGAAACUAUGUGGUGUUUGUGUCAUUUAAUUGCUAGUUCCAACAAUUCUAAAAGAACCUUGAAGGUGCAUCUCUCUUUAUUACAGAAUACCUGAGAUUAGAAGGCACCUGUGUCCAUCAGGUCCAACCCACGCUUGAGCAGUGACACCCAGAGCAGAGGGCCAGGAAGAAAUCCCACACACAGCCUCUGGGCAACCUCUGCCAGUGCUCCAUCACCUGCACAACAGAGG